rnacentral:rRNA from 1 species
UACAGAGGUCCCAAGCGUUGUUCGGAUUCACUGGGCGUAAAGGGUGCGUAGGUGGUAAGGCAAGUCAGGUGUGAAAUCUCCAAGCUCAACUUGGAAACUGCAUUCGAAACUACCUUGCUAGAGGAUUUGAGGGGGGACUGGAAUACUUGGUGUAGCAGUGAAAUGCGUAGAUAUCAAGUGGAACACCAGUGGCGAAGGCGAGUCCCUGGAAAAUUCCUGACACUGAGGCACGAAAGCUAGGGGAGCAAACGGG